rnacentral:rRNA from 1 species
GUCGAACGAUGAUCCUKAGCUUGCUGGGGGGAUUAGUGGCGAACGGGUGAGUAACACGUGAGUAACCUGCCCUUAACUCUGGGAUAAGCCUGGGAAACUGGGUCUAAUACCGGAUAUGACUCCUCAUCGCAUGGUGGGGGGUGGAAAGCUUUUUGUGGUUUUGGAUGGACUCGCGGCCUAUCAGCUUGUUGGUGAGGUAAUGGCUUACCAAGGCGACGACGGGUAGCCGGCCUGAGAGGGUGACCGGCCACACUGGGACUGAGACACGGCCCAGACUCCUACGGGAGGCAGCAGUGGGGAAUAUUGCACAAUGGGCGCAAGCCUGAUGCAGCGACGCCGCGUGAGGGAUGACGGCCUUCGGGUUGUAACACCU